rfam:Candidatus Staskawiczbacteria bacterium RIFOXYC1_FTLL_38_18 rifoxyc1_full_scaffold_2382, whole genome shotgun sequence.
GCCCCCAUAACUUAAUGGUAAAGUAGCUGCCUCUUAAGCAGUCUAUCUCAGUCCGAUUCUGAGUGGGGGCA